rnacentral:sRNA from 1 species
CGGUACAGUAUUCUAGUGAAAGCACAUCUCCUCGAAGACGGGCCUAAAAAUCCGUUAAAGGGCAUAUCGAUGAAGCUCCUUGUAGCUGCUUUUUACGCCCAGUUUAGGGUGGUUGCUGGGAGAAUAGGACUGCGGGCAGCCUGUAAUGGCAUACGGGUGCGAAUCCCGCUUUCUUUUGAGGCUUCCUUAUGUGGUUACAACCGACGAUGCGGAGUAAUUCCGCAUCGCGUUCAGACUACGUUUUGAAGAUUAAACCUAUCGCUUGGUGCAUUUUCGACGCUGUGGAUAGUGUAGCCUGCCUUGCGUGAUUCUGGCGGAUAACGGAACCAAAUCCCCUUUCCUUGGCCGAGGAAACCGGACUAUUGCUGUUUGAAACCAGCGUUGCAAAAGAGGCUAGAUGGGAUGGUCACUUUCCUGAGGAAAUCUCCUAGACUGUUCGCAAGAGGUGAAAUAAGGAUUGCAGUGCGAACUCAUCGGCAAUCAAGUCCCGGACACGGCAACGUGCCGGCACAUCCUAUAAUGGGAAACCGCCUAUUCGGCAACGAUGGGUUGGAUGCGGGGAAAUCCUACUUGACCUUAUGUCGCAAGGUUUACUUAUUUCACUGCCG